UCCUACGGGGGGCAGCAGUGGGGAAUAUUACGCAAUGGGCGAAAGCCUGACGCAGCGACGCCGCGUGAGGGAUGAAGGUCUUCGGAUCGUAAACCUUUGUCAGCAGGGAAGAACGGUCACUGUGCUAAUCAGCAGUGAAUUGACGGUACCUGCAAAGGAAGCACCGGCUAACUCCGUGCCAGCAGCCGCGGUAAUACGGAGGGUGCGAGCGUUAAUCGGAAUUACUGGGCGUAAAGCGCUCGUAGGCGGUAUGUCAAGUCAAGGGUGAAAUCCCCGCGCUCAACGUGGGAACUGCCUUUGAAACU
rnacentral:rRNA from 1 species